ACCUGUUCCUUCUUGUCAAGCCACAACUGAACAGCUUCAUAAGAACUGCGGAAAAAGAAAAACUGGAACUUUGAAGCUUCUCUUUACCAAACAGACAGAGAAAUUAUUAAAAUGGCUAGCCCUGAUCUCUCUGCCACAAUUGAUUACUGCGCACUUGAGCUGCGUCAGGUUGGAGAUGGACUCUACUGGAGAUACAAACUGCUGGAAAUACUGAUAAAUAACUACAAGACUGUUUCUAAAAUCAAGUGACAUCGAAAUGAAAAGGAAAGAGGAAAUGGAUUUAAUUUGAAUGGCGUUGGGAGCCGAAGCAGAGGAGUCUUGGACUCAUCACUGAGGGUAAAAUGGUGACUCUCAAGUGGGAUGUCAGCUCGUAGAAACACCCUGAUGGAGACGCUGGAUGUGGACUGUCAGUGGACUGUUGUCGUAUUCAAGCCUGAAGCUCUGUAGAGGAAGCCAAAUGUGUGGGGAUGCUGUUUAUCCACCUGUUCAGACCCCUGGGUGACUGGAACCAAAGUGGAACAUCUGAAUUGAAGACAUCUGCUGAAAAAGGCUGAUUAUCUAUACAUACUGCUGUAUAUAUGGACACUUUUCCAUGUUACGCUCUGUCAGUCUGUCACAUUUAUGUCCACUGAAGGACUCAGUUAGCUACUUAUUGACUCAAAAAUCUUAAAAAUGUCUUUCUAAUGGGAAGUAUGUCAUGAGUUAAUAAUAUAAUAAAAGAUGCAUAUUCAAGUCUAA